rnacentral:rRNA from 1 species
GACGAACGCUGGCGGCGUGCCUAAUACAUGCAAGUAGAACGCUGAAGGGAGAGCUUGCUCUUCUGGAUGAGUUGCGAACGGGGUGAGUAACGCGUAGGUAACCUGCCUGGUAGCGGGGGAUAACUAUUGGAAACGAUAGCUAAUACCGCAUAACAUUGACUAUUGCAUGAUAGUCAAUUGAAAGGUGCAAAUGCACCACUACCAGAUGGACCUGCGUUGUAUUAGCUAGUUGGUGGGGUAACGGCUCACCAAGGCGACGAUACAUAGCCGACCUGAGAGGGUGAUCGGCCACACUGGGACUGAGACACGGCCCAGACUCCUACGGGAGGCAGCAGUAGGGAAUCUUCGGCAAUGGACGGAAGUCUGACCGAGCAACGCCGCGUGAGUGAAGAAGGUUUUCGGAUCGUAAAGCUCUGUUGUAAGAGAAGAACGAGUGUGAGAGUGGAAAGUUCACACUGUGACGGUAUCUUACCAGAAAGGACGG